GACGAACGCUGGCGGCGUGCCUAACACAUGCAAGUCGAACGGAGUGUUUAUUUAUAAACACUUAGUGGCGAACGGGUGAGUAACGCGUAGACAACCUACCCUCUAGAUGGGGACAACACCGCGAAAGUGGUGCUAAUACCGAAUGUUGUAAUGUUGUUGCAUAAUGAUAUUACUAAAGGUGGCCUCUAUAUAAAAGCUACCGCUAGAAGAUGGGUCUGCGUCUGAUUAGCUAGUUGGUGAGAUAACAGCUCACCAAGGCAAUGAUCAGUAGCCGGUCUGAGAGGAUGAACGGCCACACUGGGACUGAGACACGGCCCAGACUCCUACGGGAGGCAGCAGUGGGGAAUCUUCCGCAAUGGACGAAAGUCUGACGGAGCAACGCCGCGUGAGUGAAGAAGGUUUUCGGAUCGUAAAGCUCUGGUCUUCAAGGACGAAUGUAGAUAUUGUGAAUAAUGAUAUUUAAUGACGGUACUUGAGGGGAAGCCACGGA
rnacentral:rRNA from 1 species